CCAAAAAGAAGUUUGUAAAAAACAAAUAUCCAAAAGUUACAGAAUAUUUUAGUCCCGCUUCCCCGGUUUAAAAUCGACUUUCAGAAUCUCGGCAAGUUUCUUUGGGACAUUGCGAUCCUGAGCGUCAUUUUCAUUUUUAGAUAUUUCGACUCUAAUAUUUUCGCUCCCAACAACUCAGGGAGAAGAUAUGUUCUGCACUCGAUCCUUAAAAAUCCUUAUGAUGAUCUUCAAACGAAUAAAACCAGUUUAACCUCAGUUUUACAUGACAUGAAUGUACAAAGUGUUCUUGCGGCGCCCAAAGAAUUCCGCAGACUCCAGGUGUGACCGCACAAGAGCGAAAUGUAUUGACAUUAGCAACAACUAUACACGAGAAGAUUUUUUCCAAUAGUUUACUAGGCCAAGAAAGCAUGUCUGCGUAUAAACAAGUUUGACGGAACAGAUAUGGAAAAAGAGUGAACUGACUGAGUAGUCGGACAGUCAGAUUUAAUCAGACUCAUAUUGAAUACUGAGAGUGAGGCUGUCGCGAGAAUGGCUUACAACUGCGGAGUUUUUCAGGCUUUUGGGCCCUAGUGGACAAUAAUUUCUCCUUACUUCUUCCGUUAAGUAAAAUUCUUAUCCGCAAUGGCAUUAAAUCCCGAAAAACUCACCAGAUUUAAAAGUGAAAAACCCCAUCAACUAUUUGAAAGAUCUAGUUGAAUUUUGCCGUAAAUAUCUAGGAGAUUAGGUUCUAUUGAAUAUUGAGGAAUGAAGAAAUUGCGAAUAAAGAUAAUUAAAAAGUCUGACAUUUUUAAAGUUUGAUCAAGGGAAAAUGGAACCGAAUAGUUGUGCCAAUUGUCCAGUUCUAAUGUUCAAAACUGCAACUCGAUAGCAAAGAAAAUUUACAUUCGGUACAGUGUGCCCUAGUUAAAACCGAAUAACCGCAUAACACCUGCAUUUCUAGUCCGAUUUUGACGAACUUUUCUUCAGAUUGUAGAGCUGCAAUAACUUUUGCUAAUUUGCACAGACCAAAUUAGCAUUCGAUUAAUUACAGUUGAAAUCCGCCAAUUUACUGCAAUUACCAGACUAAGUGAUUAACGGCGUAUGAACGCAACUAAACAACAUAUUUUUUACGAAUGUAAUUGUGGAAGGAGCUAAUAAUUAAGUAACAUACUGAUUUCAUUCUUCCUGGUGCAUGUGUACUGAAAAAUCUACAACAAUAGUGCGGAUUUUGCGUUGUUCUGGAUUUAGAUAAUAACGGCAAUGUGUAAGCCUGUACCUUAUCAUUUUCAUGCAAAAAAAUUGAUUCAUUGUUUCCAGUGCAAUUUAAUGGCGAUUUCAAACAGCCUGUAGAAGUGCGUAAUUUGCAAGUGAUUAUUUUUCACCUUUGUCCAAGGAGAAUUCAUGCUGCAUUGUAUGGGCAUAUAAAGGAUCAAAAUAACAAAAACACCUUUGUUUUGUACGGCAGAAGUAUUAAAAUCGGACAAUAAAUUAUAAUAAAAAAA